rnacentral:lncRNA from 1 species
GUCCCCUUACUUCCUGCAACUGGACAUCCACCGUGUCAUGUGCUCCUGCCAUAGUUAGCGCAAACACCAAAAGGAGAAAAACCGACGACAAUAAGGGAAUGGUGGUGACAACUCGCUCAAUGGAAUGUUGUUAUCAAGUUCUUAUCCGUUCUUACCAAGCCACAGGGGUGAACUGCAACCAACAGGUGGAACUGAUGAAAGAUUGGAUGAGCGAUUGCUUGGAGAAAUAGAAACCUGCUCAUCGUAGAAAUAUGUGGAGUUCUGGGUAGGCUGCACUCAAGUCAAGGAUUAGCACGAUCAAACAAUAAUGCAAAGUUGAAUUAUAGUGCAAAACACGAAACUAUAUUGCUGGCCACAAGUGCAAAGGACACAACAAGUUGGAACAAAGAACAAUGGAACUAGCAGAAUGGUAGUACCGUAAAUAUUGUACUAGCGAGGCCAAAAAGGCACUAGUAGGAAUCACAGGUGAUUUUGUUUUUCUUUUUUGUAUGAUUUUUUUAUAUUUUUCUCAGCACAAGAAGCAACAAAAUAGGAGCUACACCAAGUUUCACCUAAAACAGAGAUCAGAUGUGGCUUACAGAAAAAGAGCAAGUUCUCUAAAAAGCGUGUAAGAGCUUUGACGAUUUUUUUUUCUUUAUUUCCUGAAUUUUUUUGACAUUUUUAUCGAAACCAAACAUGUCGUAGGCCAGUUUGGCUGGCCUCAGAAUGGUGUCAACAAUCUCCUGUAAAAAUUUCAGAUUUUUUGAACAACCGAGCGAAAAGUUAUGCCCGGUUUAAGGAAGGUACCUCAAGUUAUGUUUAAAACGAUCGAGAUGAGACAACCGCUUUGUUUCCUUUCCCCUUUUUUGUUUGUUCUCUAGUUCUAUCCUUUCUCUUUCUUUUUCUUUCUUUUUCUUUUCUUUUUUUUGUUUCUGUUUUUUUACGUAACCGAAGGAGAAAACAAGGAAGCGGCGUUGACUCGGUUUGUGGCGUGAUCAAACGGGAGAUGGUGGCGGCGCGCUAGGGUUUGAAUGGUGGAAGAAACAAGGAUGGUGAAAAAACACAAUGCAACCAGCAACAAAUGACGCGCAAGCACACAAAUUCAAAAAUGCAGAUUAUUGAAAGAAAGUGCGAGUCUCAAAAGGGUGCUGGGAUAAGGUCUAACCUGAAUUUUUAUGUGGUUUUGUUGAUAGUAGGAGGAAAAAAACACUCGAUAAACUCACCAAUCAACCUGGAAAUCUGAUACCACUUGAUAUAGCUGAGGUGCCCGAUCUUUCGGUGAGUGGAGAUAAUUCCGAUUUGGCGGAAGAUGACCCUUGCGAUCCGACUACGACGAGCAAGCCCGAGGCGCCAAUGCAAUCGUUGAACCAACUCCCUGUGGUUACUGACCUUACUGAUGCGUGAUCCACCUGAUCACGAAGAUCGUUUCCUGUGCGCAAUCGAAGAACGAACAAGAAAAAGAUGCGAGCAAUCUAAUUUAUUACUCGAGGGUGGAGUUCUGAAUACACGAAGACUGCGCUGAUUUGCGCGUGUUCGAGAGUAGCUAAAGCUAACGUAAAACAAAACUCAUAGAACAAAGGAGGCGCAGCUCCUGGAUAAAUAGAGAGGGGGACGCAGCCCCUAGUGGCGGCCAAAGGGGGAAAACGCAACCCUAGGUCGCCCACUAUGGGCCGCAGUUGGACUGGUCGUCUAUUCUUCUGGGCCCUCAUUCUUCAGUAGCAUGACGAAGUUAAGAUCUCUGGCAUGGGCCCGAGUGAUUGGCCCAGCUAAUGAAGGAAGUGGUGCUUGAUGUGGAGGUGCUGCUGGUGUAGUCGUACUCAUGUUGCAGGUGAUGUCCUCAUAAAAAAGGCUAUCUAGUCCUCGAUAGAUUGUCCUUAAGUCAAUAGUAAAUAUCAAGGGCAUGGAUGUAAUUUUACAUAGGUUGUGUACUGUGCCUAUAAAUAGAUGAACAGUAACAUCGUACUGGGCACGCUGACUGGUAUUCACUCGCACGUCACUCUCUGACUCAAACCUUCUGUCAAGCCGAAGGUACAAAUGUAACUUACUGUUAUUAAUGUUUGCCCAUGAUGAAAUAAUGAGAAUAUAAAUAAUGUUACAAUUCAAUAUGAUUGUUCAUGUUGUUUUCCAUGUUUCAUAUACUUCUACUUUCAUUAUUAUAUACUGAUAUAAUGAAGGUAUGUCCUUCAUAACCUUCGUCUAAAGAUCAUUGUAUCCUAAGGGAGAUAAUGCUUUGAAGGACGAAGGUCUUUAACCAUUAACAUUUUUGUGUUGCCUUGUUCUUAACUCAUAGCAUUUGAGAACAAGUCCCCAACAAAACUUAUGCAUGAAUAGUGAUAAUAAAGAAUAUUAUUGGGUAAUAAAAGUGGAUCAAGGGCACAACUUGCUUGGCACUUGAGAUUCCAGUAACCAAGGUGAUUCUUCAGAUCCUCGUGACCUCACUGCUAAUCGUAGCAAUACAAACAGACAUGGUAUAGACAAAAUUAACAUCACACCAUGCAUAAGAACAAACUUCAUAAUAAUGAUCUACGCGAAGUUACGAGGUCGUGGGAUCGAGAACUACUAAGAUCGAAGUCGGGGGUCAUCAAGUUAUGAUGUGAUUAAAUGAUUAAAACUAGGUGUUAUUUUAUAAUACCAGAGAAAAGAUAACCAAAAAUAGUAAUUAAUUCAACUUUAAUCUAAAUUAUAAAUUGACUAUAGAUCACAGUUUAGUAGAUAAUGAUGAGCACAUUAACAAGAAUAACCAACAUAAGUUAAGUAAAGAUUUAAUCAUAAAAUAAUGAGACAUGGUAUAAUAAAUGUUGUUAUUGCAUAGUAAAUAUUCGUACGAGACUAACGCAACUUGACCGGAUCAAAUCGGAAUCAUAGAUUUUAAGUUAUGAAUUUCUAAUGAUUUUAUGUGUUUUGUACAAUAUUAAAUGGGAUAUAAAUUUUAAUAUGACUUUCAUGUGAAAACAGUGGUACUAGAUGAUAAACCAUAAUAUUACAAAAUUAUAGAAACUCGAAUGGACUAAAAAGGAGCUAGAAUAGAUUUUCUAUGAUUUAAACAAGUUUCUGCAAUUAGUUUUAUAUUGAAAAUCACUUUUUAAAUGGAUUUCUCAAUUUCCUUACAGAUCUGGUCUGCGCGCAAUAUUAACAAAAAGUCCAAGGACUAAAACAGAAACAUUCCUAAGACUCAGAUCCCCAGUCGCUAGGACUCCAGGUUGUUUUGUCACUUUCUCAGGGUCUCUUUUGAAAGAAGAGCACGACGAAGGGGUAUCGGCAACCCACAGUCGUCCGAUCUCCACUCAACGCGCCAGAUUAGAUUGCCAAACGGGAAUAUUCCUAUGCCAUCACAGCCACCCGCGGCAGGAUCAACGACCCUGAUCUAUUGUGUGGGAGGGAAAACACGGACAACCGAUCCGGCCAUCCGUUUCGAUCUCGACGGCCAAGAUCAACCUAACGCGAACCGUUACACCGUCCUAAUCCUGACCGCACAACAAAAUCGAACGGCCAGGAGCCGAUUCCCACUCAGGUGACGACCGACCGGCGGCGGCAUUCCACCCACGGCGGCGCGGCAUUAACGGGCCACUAGCUUAAUCUCCGAUUUCUGCCUACAACAUGAUUCUGAUGCUUGCAUAACAAAGCAGAGAGUAUGGGGAAUGUAAUGGAGUGCAUCAUACCGUUCUCGGUGGCGACAGCAGCACUGCCCACGGUGACCCACGGCCCGACUGCCUGGAUGAAGAACCGAUGAGAAAUUCCGCCGCACCGCAGGCCUCAGCGCUGGAUUAGGCCCGUGUACACGAUCUACCAACCCUGUAGAAUGCCUGGAACCGCACAACGGAGGUUGGGAGGCGACGAUGGCUACAAUCAAUGGCGGCGUUGCAGAUUCGCACGGCUACAGCGAGCAAUUCCCCACCGUCCAGCCACACAUCACCCCCUCGAUGCGGACAUAAGCACCACCCGAGCGGCUGUACGCCAUGAUGAAGUACUCCUCCACAUCCGGCCGCCACCGCAGCCUCAGGCUGUAUGUGUACCGUGCCGUUUCAGCAGCUUCCGGCUGUACCGCCAAGGGGGGAGUGGGAGUCCAUUAAUGGUGAGGGCCGCCGGUUGCGAGCCAAAGGCGGAUGGGGAGGUGAUGUAGGACUAGGUAGGGAAGAAGCACGGAACGACGAGCACGAGGCAGAAGAAUCGAGCACGGAGGUGGCGGCUCGAGAUGGCAGAAAAAAAUGAAAAGGAAAGUCUAGUUCUGCAUUUAAGCACCAUGACCGGGAGGUCCAGCCAGCCGAAGGGAAUAGUUGAAUUCCCGCAAAAGUUUGUUGCUAGGAUCCGAUUUCAUGGCUAGAAG